AACAAACUGGAAAACACAUCCCACCCACAGCUGUCUUCCUUGUGCCACUCGCAGUGUCCUAGCAGGGCUGCCUCCAACCUCCAGAAUAUACAGUAAUCAAGAAUAUUUCAGCCAUCUCCUCCCAGACUAAAACCUCCAAAGCCUGGCUUUCUUAUCCUACGCAGUCUGCUGACUCGCUGCUGCAGCUCCUGCACCCACUGCCUGAGUGACUCCAUCAGAACACACCUGGCACAGGAUGGAGACACUGUGUGGAAGGACUCGUUGUGGAAGACACAAGGCAGUGACAGAAGACAGCUGAAAGGUGUGAGCCAGAAGAAUUGUCUGUGCCUUGCCAACUGAUUCCCCCAGUUACUGCCUGCAAUAGCAGCCUGGAGUCCUUGCUCUUUUUUCACCUUGAGUCUCAGGACAGGAUACUGCAGGAAACUGAUCUCUCUCUGUGCUUCCUGCACCAGGGCACCCAGUACCUUACUCCCAGGUGGUGAUAUAAAGGGAAAAUGCUGUGUGUACCAUGCUACAGUUCUUGACAUCUUCUGAAGAUAAAAUUUGAGUUGUAUUUUCAAAGGAAAAUUCUGUCCUUAGUAAAACUGACUGUAAAAUUACCACCUGGGUCGUGCAAAGUGUUUACCUUUAUGCAGUAUAGAAGUUAUGAAGGAAACAAACAAACAAACAGAAAUGAAAUAUACAAAACAAAGAAGAAAGCCCGGAACCUUGCUUUUCCUCUGAGGGUACAAAGGACUUGUCCUGUGGGGACAAAUAGCCAGAAUAUUCUAUCUUUAUCAGAUCAGCUUGAGGGAUAUCUGUUCAUACCAUACACAACUGCACACAUUCCCUUUCUCCUCACAGUUAAAGGGGCUGAAAGCCAUUUUCCUCUGAUCUCUGAGUCCAAUGGGCAUUUUGGAUUCCCCACUGGCCCGAGGCAGCACUGCCCUGGCUCCUUCACAAGGCGAUACCAUUCCUGAGUGGUGUAAGUGGGAAGUCCCACUGGAAAGGCACCUCCGACUGAGUGCAAAAUGC